ACGGGUGAGUAAUGUCUGGGGAUCUGCCCGAUAGAGGGGGAUAACCACUGGAAACGGUGGCAAAUACCGCAUAACGUCGCAAGACCAAAGAGGGGGACCUUCGGGCCUCUCACUAUCGGAUGAACCCAGAUGGGAUUAGCUAGUAGGCGGGGUAACGGCCCACCUAGGCGACGAUCCCUAGCUGGUCUGAGAGGAUGACCAGCCACACUGGAACUGAGACACGGUCCAGACUCCUACGGGAGGCAGCAGUGGGGAAUAUUGCACAAUGGGCGCAAGCCUGAUGCAGCCAUGCCGCGUGUAUGAAGAAGGCCUUCGGGUUGUAAAGUACUUUCAGCGGGGAGGAAGGCGAUGUGGUUAAUAACCGCAUUGAUUGACGUUACCCGCAGAAGAAGCACCGGCUAACUCCGUGCCAGCAGCCGCGGUAAUACGGAGGGUGCAAGCGUUAAUCGGAAUUACUGGGCGUAAAGCGCACGCAGGCGGUCUGUUAAGUCAGAUGUGAAAUCCCCGGGCUUAACCUGGGAACUGCAUUUGAAACUGGCAGGCUUGAGUCUCGUAGAGGGGGGUAGAAUUCCAGGUGUAG
rnacentral:rRNA from 1 species